GUCCACGCCGUAAACGUUGGGCGCUAGAUGUGGGGACCUUUCCACGGUUUCCGUGUCGUAGCUAACGCAUUAAGCGCCCCGCCUGGGGAGUACGGCCGCAAGGCUAAAACUCAAAGGAAUUGACGGGGCCCGCACAAGCGGCGGAGCAUGCGGAUUAAUUCGAUGCAACGCGAAGAACCUUACCAAGGCUUGACAUAACCGAGAACGCCGCAGAGAUGCGGAACUCUUUGGACACUCGGUUACAGGUGGUGCAUGGUUGUCGU
rnacentral:rRNA from 1 species